GGCACGAGUUGUAGAUUGCAGGUUGGAGUCUGUGUGGAAGGCGGUGUCCAAGUCCCUUGGAACAGGGCGCCCAGGAGGGUGAGAGCCCCGUGGGAUGCCGGCGGAAGCAGUGAGGCCCUUCUGACGAGUCGAGUUGUUUGGGAAUGCAGCUCCAAGCGGGUGGUAAAUUCCAUCUAAGGCUAAAUACUGGCGAGAGACCGAUAGCGAACAAGUACUGUGAAGGAAAGAUGAAAAGCACUUUGAAAAGAGAGUGAAACAGCACGUGAAAUUGUUGAAAGGGAAGGGUAUUGCGCCCGACAUGGGGAUUGCGCACCGCUGCCUCUCGUGGGCGGCGCUCUGGGCUUUCCCUGGGCCAGCAUCGGUUCUUGCUGCAGGAGAAGGGGUUCUGGAACGUGGCUCUUCGGAGUGUUAUAGCCAGGGCCAGAUGCUGCGUGCGGGGACCGAGGACUGCGGCCGUGUAGUCACGGAUGCUGGCAGAACGGCGCAACACCGCCCGUCUUGGAAACACGGACC
rnacentral:rRNA from 1 species